rnacentral:lncRNA from 1 species
AUUAGGGACAACACAACUAGUCUAGGCUCUGGGAUUGUUCUGGUUUCAGCACGCCCAGCAAAUCAAUAUGCAUUAAUCAUUACAUGCUUACUGUGAACAUGAUUCAGCCUCAGUGACUCAUGGGCAUCACACACAAGGCAAUCUGUUGUGACUUGGGUUGGGCCAAAGAGUCCAAGGACUUAAGAAAUGUUUUAUGCCUAAAGGGGCAGAAUAUGCCCGUGCUGAGUGAUGAGAGUACAGUGGUGAGGUAGAGAAUGAAUGCAAACCAAUAAGGAAUUUUGUGCAGCACAUGGAAGCCUCUCUCCUAGCAUUGUCUGCAUGGCUAAGUUAGCACUCAGCAGAGGCUGCUUAGCAUUGUAAUUAUUUGUCAUUUAUAGAUUCCUGAUCCUUCCAACUUUGCUCUGUGCUCCAGAAGGGUAGGGGCCAUAUGGCUCACGUCUGGGUCGCCAGCACCUAACACCCAGGCUCAGGGAGAAGAGCCCCUUGGCUUACAUGGCAGAUGACGGUUGUGUUUUGGUGAUUAUGCUGGGGCUCCUGGCAAAAUCUGUUCUGCUGACCAAAUAAAGGUAGAACUUUUAGAGGUGCUGUCAAGCUUGAUUGCCCAGCGAAACUUCUUUGGCCUGCUAAUCACUGAAAAACAGGCUCUCUCACUCAUAUGAGAUUUCCCCUCCUUCCUGUUCUCAGCUAGAAAUACCAUGAGAACAGACUGUCUCACAGUGUUUUCAGAUUUCCACUUCGAGUCCCUGCCAAAAGCAGGAAGUGCAGAAGUGGGCGAUAAUUCUUUUUUUCUUUUUAGAACACUUUAUUAAAGAGUUUUGGUUGUUACUUGUUUUUCCCCCUGAACCUCAUUAGAAUUAAUUUGAGCAGUACUUCGAAUUUACAUAAUGAUUUUCUUACAAGGCACACAGAGUUUUAUUUAUCAAUGCCCUUUCCUAGUAAGGUAAAGUAGAAAGAGGUACAGAGGUACAGUAUAGUACAGAUUGAGGGCACCUGGAGGAUUUUCUACUCCAGUUUUUUUUUUUUUAAGAAACUGAUAAGAAAAUUGAGACCUGGAGUUAUUACCUGGGGUAGUUCUUGCUCUGUGCCGGUGCCUACCACUCCAUUCUCUUGCUGUCAUUCCCCUUGCCUCCCUGCCAUGGGAUAACGCAGUUGUUUCUCAUGUCUUACAUCAACCCCACCCAGCCCUCCCACCUAUUCUGCCCACUCUGCUUCCCCACUUCUUACCCAGACGUCAACCCCUUAAUUGGGGGUGGGGGGAAUUGAAAGCAGGUCGCAUCACGAAGAGGGCCAAGAACUACUGUGUCUGAUGAUACACUAUUAAAAAUAGAGAGAAAGGAGGGGGGAACAGGAAGGAGGAAAAAGAGCAGUAAAAUAUGAAAGCAAAAAGCAGGAUAGGGAAGAGAGUACAGCUUCAAAGGGGGCCAAGGACCAUGCUGGCCUCUCCUUUCAACACCUUGCAUCUUCUCAACAUCCCUGCUGAAAAAACUGCCCUGUGGGGGAUGCCAUUUGGUUCCACUUCCUGGAGGUUAUUUACUCCACUCUGCUCUGCUCUAAUGUUAUCCCCGGAUCUGAUGAGCAUAUUGAAGCCUAAAGAGGUAAGUGAGUCUUCAAAUUAAGAGCCAGAGAGGAAGCCAGAAGUAGGCUCAGUAGGUGCUAUGGACUGAAUUAUGUCCCCUGCAAAAUCCACACAUUGGAGCCCCACCCUCAAUGGGACUGUAUUUGGAAACAGGGUUGUUAAGAGGUAAUUAAGGUUAAAUGAGGUCACAGUGAUGGGGCCCUAAUCCAGUAGGACUGGUGGCCUUAUAGAAUGGGCAAGAUUCUCUUUCUCUCUCUCUCUCUUUCUGGGAAUUCACAGGAGAAAGGACAUGUGAGGACGUAAUGAAAAGUUGCCCAUUUACGGUACAAGCCAGGCAGGUGACUCUCACCAGAGAUCAAAUCAUCCAGUACCUUGAUCUUGGACUUCUCAGCUUUCAGAACUAUGAGAAAUAAAUGUCUCUUGUUUGAGACACCCAAUCUGUGGUAUUUUGCUGUGGCAGUCCCAACAGAUGGAUUGUAGGUUAUUGAUAAAAACCAGAUUCUGAAUAUGGCUAUCCAUCCCACACCACCUGGACAUAACUUGUGGGUGUAAUGGUUUCUCAUCAUUAGUCUGCACCUCAAGUGACAGACCUAAAUUGAAUUGUCCUAGGACCAAAACAAGGUGCCAGCAAAGGACAAGGUCACAAAAAGGCUGGCGAUCACUCAUUAAUAGUUCUCAAGACCAUGGUCACUACCCCAGAUAAGGGUUAAUUUACACACAAAGCUUUAGUUUCAGGGUGCCAUGAUUGCAUGGGCUCCUUCCUAAGCCCUGAACCAGAGUCUGCAUUUGUGGCUUUUUAAAAUUUUUAAAUUAUAGCCCCCAUCCUAAAUUCUGUGUGCCUCAUACCCCCACAUCUCACCCCUGCAUCCAAAAGUAUUUAUUAUGCAGCCCUUAUGCAAAAGCCUUGAGAAUACAGUAGGGACCAAGAUGAGGUCAUCACAGCACAAACAUUGAGUUUCAGAGUAAAUAGAUGGAUUUAGGGGAAAACAAUCAAAAUAUGUAAUAGUAGAGAUGGGGGAAGAGGAGGAGUUUAUGUCCCUUCACAAGGACUCAUUAGAUGGCAGCCUGGAUCUAGUUUGCUCCUUCCUGGCCCCAAAGGCUCUGACGAUGCACACUUCUCAACUGCAGGACAACAUAUUUAUGAAGAAUCUGCAGUGCUAUGAGCCAGGAAAAGUACCCAGUAUCUGGCAUAUGUCAUCUCAAUCAUUCCUUACGACGUCCAUAUACAAGAAGGCAGUAUUAUCUCCAUUUAGUGACAACACCGAAGCUCCUCGAAGUUGAAGAACCUGCCCCCAUGGUGGAGCUCACUUUUUAAUCAGGCCCACCGGACUCUAAAACUUGCAAAGCUUCCAGUUUGCUAAGCCUUCUACUGAUACGCAACCCCACCUCCCAACUGAGGCUGGGCUGAGAGUAGGGAGAAGGUGAUGAAGAGUGGGGCCAGGGAUAGUCAAGCCUUCCAAAUGAUCACUGCACAAUUCUCCAUGUGGCAUGCUUUUCACAUCGCUUUUAACCCAUGAAGGGCCUGACUUUCCAGUCCUGUGCAGGAGGGCAGCACAUGAGCAUAGGCUUCAGGCAUCGCCAUGCCUUUGGGGGCUGAGCUCAGAGAUUUUUCUACACUCUGUAGGGCUUUGAGCUCUGUGUCAUUAGGAAUUUUAAUUCACAAACCCCCUGUCUAUUGAUGCAGACUUUGGACAUCUGAUUCUAUGAGAAAAGAAUUCAAAUUUUUUAAAUGUUGGCACUGAAUUCAUCAUGCUUGACUAUAAAAUCCUUACCCUGCAAAGCCCUUAUGUAAGCUCUUUGGUAGAGGUUUCCCUGAGCAGACAGGGGGAAAAAAGCAUCAGAUGAUGAUAAACCGCCCUCUCCUUUGGCUAGGAGUGUGACAAAAAGUACUAGUAUGACAUGGAGUUUUUCUCCUUUUAUCUUCUUAAAAGACCAACCAGAAAUCCAGUGUGAAAAAAGCUAAUGUGAUACUAAGUUUGCAAAUUUCAACUAAGAGUUCUGCAGUCAAGACAUGGAAAAGUUUCCAUAGCAACAUUAGCUCCCAUCUUUAGGAUUUUCAGUCCUAUUAAAGCCAUUAAAAUCAUGCUUUUCUAUAUACAAGGGUAUAUGCAAUGUGGUUGGAUUUAAGGUUGAGGUUUAUUUUCCCUGUUUUAAUUAUGAAUGGUUCCCCGUGUAGCUUUGUGUGCCUGUUCCCUGAGUGGACUUUUUGUAAAUGGAUAGUAUUAAAGCAGGUUGAUGUCUUUUGUUCUUCUCUCAUUUUUUUCCCUCUUAUAUGUUCCAUUCCCUCAAUAUCCUGGGUGCUGAAAGGAGGGAAGAGAGCAGGCCAGACUGCCGUAAAUGACACAGGGGAUCCACCUUGCUCUCGUCAUGGUGCCACCUCCAUGCAUCAUGCAAAGCCAACCUCCUUAGGGAGGAAAGAUGGAGAAGACAAAGACUAUACAUUCUCCCCAAUGGCCACAGACUGAUCUACUCACGUAGGCUGCCCCCACAGCGGGCUUCCUUAUCACUUUUAAAAGCUAGAAAGGAAACUGGCUUUGCCCAGAGCCAAGAGUCAGCCAGCCCCAGG